UUAAAAGCAUUGAUGAGAAAUAGUAAAAGUAUUAAGUUCUUAAACAGAGAGUUCCCGGUUGGUGCGAGGGGCGUAAGACAAUAUUUUGAACACAUCUCUGAGCUGAGCACCGAACCCUUUUUGGUAGUAGACUGUUUCCGGAUUCCCUGCACCCGUUAUCGUGCUAGAGUAUAGCUUAAUUGCUGCACUUGAAGAGGUUGGUAUCGUGAGGUAUCAAUAAAAUAGAGGUGGAACCACGUGAGUAUUACUCCCGUCCUCUAG
rnacentral:ncRNA from 1 species